rnacentral:rRNA from 1 species
UACGUAGGGUGCAAGCGUUGUCCGGAAUUAUUGGGCGUAAAGAGCUCGUAGGCGGUCUGUCACGUCGGCUGUGAAAACUCGGGGCUCAACCCCGAGCCUGCAGUCGAUACGGGCAGACUAGAGUCCGGCAGGGGAGACUGGAAUUCCUGGUGUAGCGGUGAAAUGCGCAGAUAUCAGGAGGAACACCGGUGGCGAAGGCGGAUCUCUGGGCCGAUACUGACGCUGAGGAGCGAAAGCGUGGGGAGCAAACAGG